rnacentral:rRNA from 1 species
GGUUAAGCGACUAAGCGUACACGGUGGAUGCCCUGGCAGUCAGAGGCGAUGAAGGACGUGCUAAUCUGCGAAAAGCGCCGGCGAGGUGAUAUGAACCUUUGACCCGGCGAUGUCCGAAUGGGGAAACCCAGUGUGUUCCGACACACUAUCGUUAACUGAAUACAUAGGUUAACGAGGCGAACCGGGGGAACUGAAACAUCUAAGUACCCCGAGGAAAAGAAAUCAACCGAGAUUCCCCCAGUAGCGGCGAGCGAACGGGGAGCAGCCCAGAGUCUGAAUCAGCUUGUGUGUUAGUGGAAGCGUCUGGAAAGUCGCACGGUACAGGGUGACAGUCCCGUACACGAAAAUGCACAGGUUGUGAACUCGAAGAGUAGGGCGGGACACGUGGUAUCCUGUCUGAAUAUGGGGGGACCAUCCUCCAAGGCUAAAUACUCCUGACUGACCGAUAGUGAACCAGUACCGUGAGGGAAAGGCGAAAAGAACCCCGGCGAGGGGAGUGAAAAAGAACCUGAAACCGUGUACGUACAAGCAGUGGGAGCACCUUCGUGGUGUGACUGCGUACCUUUUGUAUAAUGGGUCAGCGACUUAUAUUCUGUAGCAAGGUUAACCGUAUAGGGGAGCCGAAGGGAAACCGAGUCUUAACUGGGCGUUAAGUUGCAGGGUAUAGACCCGAAACCCGGUGAUCUAGCCAUGGGCAGGUUGAAGGUUGGGUAACACUAACUGGAGGACCGAACCGACUAAUGUUGAAAAAUUAGCGGAUGACUUGUGGCUGGGGGUGAAAGGCCAAUCAAACCGGGAGAUAGCUGGUUCUCCCCGAAAGCUAUUUAGGUAGCGCCUCGUGAACUCAUCUUCGGGGGUAGAGCACUGUUUCGGCUAGGGGGCCAUCCCGGCUUACCAACCCGAUGCAAACUACGAAUACCGAAGAAUGUUAUCACGGGAGACACACGGCGGGUGCUAACGUCCGUCGUGAAGAGGGAAACAACCCAGACCGCCAGCUAAGGUCCCAAAGUCAUGGUUAAGUGGGAAACGAUGUGGGAAGGCACAGACAGCCAGGAUGUUGGCUUAGAAGCAGCCAUCAUUUAAAGAAAGCGUAAUAGCUCACUGGUCGAGUCGGCCUGCGCGGAAGAUGUAACGGGGCUAAACCAUGCACCGAAGCUGCGGCAGCGACACUAUGUGUUGUUGGGUAGGGGAGCGUUCUGUAAGCCGUUGAAGGUGUGCUGUGAGGCAUGCUGGAGGUAUCAGAAGUGCGAAUGCUGACAUAAGUAACGAUAAAGCGGGUGAAAAGCCCGCUCGCCGGAAGACCAAGGGUUCCUGUCCAACGUUAAUCGGGGCAGGGUGAGUCGACCCCUAAGGCGAGGCCGAAAGGCGUAGUCGAUGGGAAACAGGUUAAUAUUCCUGUACUUGGUGUUACUGCGAAGGGGGGACGGAGAAGGCUAUGUUAGCCGGGCGACGGUUGUCCCGGUUUAAGCAUGUAGGCGGAACGAUUAGGUAAAUCCGGUCGUUUUUAACGCUGAGGUGUGAUGACGAGGCACUACGGUGCUGAAGUAACAAAUGCCCUGCUUCCAGGAAAAGCCUCUAAGCAUCAGGUAACAUCAAAUCGUACCCCAAACCGACACAGGUGGUCAGGUAGAGAAUACCAAGGCGCUUGAGAGAACUCGGGUGAAGGAACUAGGCAAAAUGGUGCCGUAACUUCGGGAGAAGGCACGCUGAUAUGUAGGUGAAGCCCCUGCGGGUGGAGCUGAAAUCAGUCGAAGAUACCAGCUGGCUGCAACUGUUUAUUAAAAACACAGCACUGUGCAAACACGAAAGUGGACGUAUACGGUGUGACGCCUGCCCGGUGCCGGAAGGUUAAUUGAUGGGGUUAGCGGCAACGCGAAGCUCUUGAUCGAAGCCCCGGUAAACGGCGGCCGUAACUAUAACGGUCCUAAGGUAGCGAAAUUCCUUGUCGGGUAAGUUCCGACCUGCACGAAUGGCGUAAUGAUGGCCAGGCUGUCUCCACCCGAGACUCAGUGAAAUUGAACUCGCUGUGAAGAUGCAGUGUACCCGCGGCAAGACGGAAAGACCCCGUGAACCUUUACUAUAGCUUGACACUGAACACUGGUCCUUGAUGUGUAGGAUAGGUGGGAGGCUUUGAAGUGUGGACGCCAGUCUGCAUGGAGCCGUCCUUGAAAUACCACCCUUUAAUGGCUGGUGUUCUAACGUAGACCCGUAAUCCGGGUUGCGGACAGUGUCUGGUGGGUAGUUUGACUGGGGCGGUCUCCUCCCAAAGAGUAACGGAGGAGCACGAAGGUUAGCUAAUCCUGGUCGGACAUCAGGAGGUUAGUGCAAUGGCAUAAGCUAGCUUGACUGCGAGAGUGACGGCUCGAGCAGGUGCGAAAGCAGGUCAUAGUGAUCCGGUGGUUCUGAAUGGAAGGGCCAUCGCUCAACGGAUAAAAGGUACUCCGGGGAUAACAGGCUGAUACCGCCCAAGAGUUCAUAUCGACGGCGGUGUUUGGCACCUCGAUGUCGGCUCAUCACAUCCUGGGGCUGAAGUAGGUCCCAAGGGUAUGGCUGUUCGCCAUUUAAAGUGGUACGCGAGCUGGGUUUAGAACGUCGUGAGACAGUUCGGUCCCUAUCUGCCGUGGGCGCUGGAGAAUUGAGGGGGGCUGCUCCUAGUACGAGAGGACCGGAGUGGACGCAUCACUGGUGUUCGGGUUGUCAUGCCAAUGGCACUGCCCGGUAGCUAAAUGCGGAAAAGAUAAGUGCUGAAAGCAUCUAAGCACGAAACUUGCCCCGAGAUGAGUUCUCCCUGAGACUUUAAGUCUCCUGAAGGAACGUUGAAGACGACGACGUUGAUAGGUCGGGUGUGUAAGCGCAGCGAUGCGUUGAGCUAACCGAUACUAAUGAACCGUGAGGCUUAACCUU